rnacentral:rRNA from 1 species
UAAAGGAAUUGGCGGGGGAGCACUACAACGGGUGGAGCCUGCGGUUCAAUUGGAUUCAACGCCGGGAAGCUUACCGGGGGAGACAGCUGGAUGAAGGUCGGGCUGAAGACCUUACCAGACUAGCUGAGAGGUGGUGCAUGGCCGCCGUCAGUUCGUACUGUGAAGCAUCCUGUUAAGUCAGGCAACGAGCGAGACCCGCGCCCUCAGUUGCCAGCGGAUCGCUUUGCGAUGCCGGGCACACUGAGGGGACUGCCGGCGCUAAGCCGGAGGAAGGUGCGGGCAACGGCAGGUCCGUAUGCCCCGAAUCCCCCGGGCUACACGCGGGCUACAAUGGCCGGGACAAUGGGUACCGACCCCGAAAGGGGUAGGUAAUCUCCUAAACCCGGUCUAACCUGGGAUCGAGGGCUGCAACUCGCCCUCGUGAACCUGGAAUCCGUAGUAAUCGCGUCUCAAAAUGGCGCGGUGAAUACGUCCCUGCUCCUUGCACACACCGCCA